UGUUAUUAUAUUGGAGAUAUUGACCUGUUUUUUAUUGAUUUUGAGGAAGGUUCUCUGUGCCUCCUGGCACUUGAGUGCCUGUUUCUUUCCCCAGAUGAGGGAAGAUCUCUGCUAUAAUUUGCUCAAAUAUGCCUUCUGCCCCCUCCUUCCCCUCUUUUUCUGGGAUCCCCAUUAUUCUAACAUUGUUUUGCUGUGUGGUACGAAUCAUCUCUCAAAUUCUCCUGUCAUAGUCCAGUGGUUGUUUCUCUCGCUUUUCCUCAGCUUCUUUAUUCUCCAUUGUUUUGUCUUCUAUAUCACUACUUCUCUGUGAAGCCUCAUUUAUCCUAGCAGUUAGAACCUUCAUUUUUGAUUGCAUCUCACUAAGAUUAGCCUUUUUUAUCUCAACUUGAUUAGAUAUCAGUUGUUUUAUUUCUCCAGAAAGGCAUUCUCUAAUGUCCUCUGUGUUUCUUUUAAGCCCAGCUAUUAUCUUGAUGGUCAUUAUUCUGAACUCUCGCUCCAGCCUCUUCCUUCUAUCCAUGCUGAUUAGGUUCCAGGCAGUCAGUACUACCUCUUGUUCUCUUUGUGGCGGUGAGUUUUUCCAUCUUGUCAUUCUGUCCAGAGAAGAAGAGAUGAGUGAGAGAACAGAAUAGAAAAAUAUCAAGAAUGACCCCAGAUAAAUACAUGCUAAACAAAUCAGAAGAGACCCGAAGCCAAUUUAAAGGUUAACAAAGGAGAUAAUAGAAUUAGAGAGAUCAAGAGAGCAGAGCAGUACACCGAUACUAUGUGAAUUUUGGUCUUUUUGUUAGGAAAUUGCAUCCCCAAAUGGUUAAGAGGAAACCUUGUAUAUAUACAAAAAUAAAAUUAAAUACAAGGAAAGUCUAGAAUGUAAGUGUAAAAAUGGAAAUUAAAAGUCAAAAUAAAAAGGAUAUUAUCAGCCAGUUGAACAGAACAGAGCAAUAUACUAUAUCAUAAGUUUAUUUUGGUCUGUUUGUUAGAAGAAACUACAUCCCAAAAUUGUAAAGAAUGAAAAACUUCAUUAUAUGCAAAAAUAAAAUUAAAUGCAAUGAAAGGAUAGAAUGUAACUGUAAAUAUGAAAAUUAAGAUAGAUUUUAAAAAUAUUAUAAUCAGACAGAUGAAGAGAAUAGAGCAGUAUAGUAGAUUCUGGUUGUAUUUUAGUCUAUUUCUUAGAAGGAACUACUUCCCGAAAUGGUACAGAAAGAAAAACUUCAAUAUAUACAGGAAUAAUAUUAAGAGCAGUGAAAGGAUUGAAUGCAAGUGUAAAAAGGUAAAUUGUAAGAGUUGAUAAAUGAAGAAAAUGGUUGAAAGCAAAAAGAAAAUUAAAAUAGAAAGACUAAGGAGUCAUGAGAAAUAGCCAUGAGUUCUGUAUACUGUUUGCCCCUAGCACUGGAGUUCUGCAGCUCUGUAUGAUGAGUAAAGUUGGUCUUAGCAGGAAGUUGUUGCUGACCUCCUGAGGGAGAGGCCUGUUGCACUGAUUCUUAGGUGUCUUUGCUUAGGGUGGGAUUGCACCACCCUUGCCAGGGGGCCAGGCCAGGUAAGCAGCUCCAGAUUGCUCUCUGUGGCUUUUGUUCCCUGAAGGCUUUCUGGGCAGCUUUAGAGGAUGAGAAUGAAAAUGGUGGCCUCCUAAUUUCCAGCCCUGGAAUUGAAAGAUCUCACUCCCUACUGUGUCUCCCUGGUUUCUGUCUGCACUCUGUAUUCACCCAGCCUGUGACCAAGCAUUUUUAUCUCAAGCACAGACCCCCUUUCGAUUUUCCAAACUUUGCAGACCCCUGUAGCUCCCAUUCACACUGUGCCUCUGGGGGGAAGGAGGAGGUCUUGCCCAGUUUUUCCUGCUUGGAAAGUGGUCACCUGACUGUUCCUCGGUUUGGGGUUUAUGGCAACACUGAGCUGAAUGCCCACUCCUGGGCUCACUGAUUGCAACUGGCUUCCCCGCUCAAACGCCUUGGCAACUGCCAUACUCAGGUGCCGCCCCCAUUCCUUCUGUGACCCCGCCCCCCCAGGGAUCCUGAGACCACACUGUCCGUCCCACUUAGGAUGCUGCCCCCCGUUGCCACCUGAGCAUCUUUCAGACAGGGAUGUCCUCACUGGAACAGACCUCUUAAAAGUUCUGGUUGUGCACUCUGCUGCUAUAUCACUUUCCAGGACUUGCCUUCUGGCUUCCAGAGGUUCCCUGCCGCCCUGGUUUAAUCUUCUGAUAUAUGCCUCUGAUUCAUUUCUCCACACCUCCUACCUUGCAGAAAGCGGUCGCUGUUCUAUUUGUAGAAUUGCAACAAUUCUUUUCUUGGAUCUCUGUCUGAGUCCACAGGUGUUCAGAAUGAUUUGAUACCUAUGUAGCUGAAUCCCAGACACCAGACAAAACUAGGGUCUCCUACUCCUCCACCAUCGUCCUCUUCUUCCAGAAAUUCUGUAUAUUCGAUUGAUCAAUAUUAAUUGUACUUUUUAUUAGAAUCCUCUAAACAGCAUUAUAGGUUUCUUCUCAGUUAUCCAGAUUAAAAUAAGUAGGGAUUUAUUUUAUUUAUGUGAUUAGCUUUCUAUUUAAGCAAAUUGUAGCUUUUACUUUCUAAAAGUAUCAUUUCCAGACCACGUUUCAUAAGCAAAAUAAAAUUCCUACAAUAAUGUCUCUUGUUUAACUUGAACAUUGUAAGUAACGUUUAACUUAUUUCAGAUGCAGCAGAUGUUGGAAGACAGUAUAAUCAGAGAACUAAAAGAAAUUGCUCAUGAUUGAGAAUCAGGAUUCUGUAGAUCUUCUCCUUUAGGACCUACUGACGAAUCAAAUGUAAAUCAAGAUCUAGUACUGCAAGCAUCACGAGAAUAUGUAGAGAUUUUGAAUAGAAAGUAUAUGAUCUGAAAGCUAUAUAGUAAAAGUUUAUUACCUAGAUGUUUAAUAUAACAUUUUAAUUGUUUCCCAGUAAAUAUCUGAUGUACAAAAAAUCUUUAUUAAAGGAAAUGUUGUUAUAUCGUG